rnacentral:rRNA from 1 species
GACGAACGCUGGCGGCGUGCUUAACACAUGCAAGUCGAACGGAAAGGCCCUGCUUUUGUGCGGUGCUCGAGUGGCGAACGGGUGAGUAACACGUGAGUAACCUGCCCUUGACUUUGGGAUAACUUCAGGAAACUGGGGCUAAUACCGGAUAGGAGCUCCUGCUGCAUGGUGGGGGUUGGAAAGUUUCGGCGGUUGGGGAUGGACUCGCGGCUUAUCAGCUUGUUGGUGGGGUAGUGGCUUACCAAGGCUUUGACGGGUAGCCGGCCUGAGAGGGUGACCGGCCACAUUGGGACUGAGAUACGGCCCAGACUCCUACAGGAGGCAGCAGUGGGGAAUAUUGCACAAUGGGCGGAAGCCUGAUGCAGCAACGCCGCGCGCGGGAUGACGGCCUUCGGGUUGUAAACCGCUUUCGCCUGUGACGAAGCGUGAGUGACGGUAAUGGGUAAAGAAGCACCGGCUAACUACGUG